rnacentral:tRNA from 1 species
GCCGGGGUGGUGGAAUGGUAGACACGCGCGACUCAAAAUCGCGUAUCGCAAGAUGUGAGAGUUCAAGUCUCUCCCCCGGCACAA